UAGCUACAGGCUUAACACAUGCAAGUCGAGGGGCAGCAUGGUCUUAGCUUGCUAAGGCCGAUGGCGACCGGCGCACGGGUGAGUAACACGUAUCCAACCUGCCGUCUACUCUUGGACAGCCUUCUGAAAGGAAGAUUAAUACAAGAUGGCAUCAUGAGUCCGCAUGUUCACAUGAUUAAAGGUAUUCCGGUAGACGAUGGGGAUGCGUUCCAUUAGAUAGUAGGCGGGGUAACGGCCCACCUAGUCUUCGAUGGAUAGGGGUUCUGAGAGGAAGGUCCCCCACAUUGGAACUGAGACACGGUCCAAACUCCUACGGGAGGCAGCAGUGAGGAAUAUUGGUCAAUGGGCGAGAGCCUGAACCAGCCAAGUAGCGUGAAGGAUGACUGCCCUAUGGGUUGUAAACUUCUUUUAUAAAGGAAUAAAGUCGGGUAUGGAUACCCGUUUGCAUGUACUUUAUGAAUAAGGAUCGGCUAACUCCGUGCCAGCAGCCGCGGUAAUACGGAGGAUCCGAGCGUUAUCCGGAUUUAUUGGGUUUAAAGGGAGCGUAGAUGGAUGUUUAAGUCAGUUGUGAAAGUUUGCGGCUCAACCGUAAAAUUGCAGUUGAUACUGGAUAUCUUGAGUGCAGUUGAGGCAGGCGGAAUUCGUGGUGUAGCGGUGAAAUGCUUAGAUAUCACGAAGAACUCCGAUUGCGAAGGCAGCCUGCUAAGCUGCAACUGACAUUGAGGCUCGAAAGUGUGGGUAUCAAACAGGAUUAGAUACCCUGGUAGUCCACACGGUAAACGAUGAAUACUCGCUGUUUGCGAUAUACAGCAAGCGGCCAAGCGAAAGCGUUAAGUAUUCCACCUGGGGAGUACGCCGGCAACGGUGAAACUCAAAGGAAUUGACGGGGGCCCGCACAAGCGGAGGAACAUGUGGUUUAAUUCGAUGAUACGCGAGGAACCUUACCCGGGCUUAAAUUGCAGAUGAAUUACGGUGAAAGCCGUAAGCCGCAAGGCAUCUGUGAAGGUGCUGCAUGGUUGUCGUCAGCUCGUGCCGUGAGGUGUCGGCUUAAGUGCCAUAACGAGCGCAACCCUUGUUGUCAGUUACUAACAGGUUCCGCUGAGGACUCUGACAAGACUGCCAUCGUAAGAUGUGAGGAAGGUGGGGAUGACGUCAAAUCAGCACGGCCCUUACGUCCGGGGCUACACACGUGUUACAAUGGGGGGUACAGAGGGCCGCUACCACGCGAGUGGAUGCCAAUCCCCAAAACCUCUCUCAGUCCGGACUGGAGUCUGCAACCCGACUCCACGAAGCUGGAUUCGCUAGUAAUCGCGCAUCAGCCACGGCGCGGUGAAUACGUUCCCGGGCCUUGUACACACCGCCCGUCAAGCCAUGGGAGCCGGGGGUACCUGAAGUGCGUAACCGCGAGGAGCGCCCUAGGGUAAAACUGGUGGCUGGGGCU
rnacentral:rRNA from 1 species